GGCGACUGCCGGGGGAUGCCUUAACAUGCAAGUCGAACGGCAGCGGGAAAGUAGCUUGCUACUUUUGCCGGCGAGUGGGAACGGGUGAGUAAUGUAUCGGAACGUGCCCAGUAGCGGGGGAUAACUACGCGAAAGCGUGGCUAAUACCGCAUACGCCCUACGGGGGAAAGGGGGGGAUCUUAGGACCUCUCACUAUUGGAGCGGCCGAUAUCGGAUUAGCUAGUUGGUGGGGUAAAGGCCUACCAAGGCGACGAUCCGUAGCUGGUUUGAGAGGACGACCAGCCACACUGGGACUGAGACACGGCCCAUACUCCUACGGGAGGCAGCAGUGGGGAAUUUUGGACAAUGGGGGAAACCCUGAUCCAGCCAUCCCGCGUGUGCGAUGAAGGCCUUCGGGUUGUAAAGCACUUUUGUCAGGGAAGAAAAGGUUUCGGAUAAUACCCGGAACUGAUGACGGUACCUGAAGAAUAAGCACCGGCUAACUACGUGCCAGCAGCCGCGGUAAUACGUAGGGUGCAAGCGUUAAUCGGAAUUACUGGGCGUAAAGCGUGCGCAGGCGGUUCGGAAAGAAAGAUGUGAAAUCCCAGGGCUCAACCUUGGAACUGCAUUUUUAACUACCGAACUAGAGUAUGUCAGAGGGGGGUGGAAUUCCACGUGUAGCAGUGAAAUGCGUAGAUAUGUGGAGGAACACCGAUGGCGAAGGCAGCCCCCUGGGAUAAUACUGACGCUCAUGCACGAAAGCGUGGGGAGCAAACAGGAUUAGAUACCCUGGUAGUCCACGCCCUAAACGAUGUCAACUAGCUGUUGGGCCCUUCGGGGCUUAGUAGCGCAGCUAACGCGUGAAGUUGACCGCCUGGGGAGUACGGUCGCAAGAUUAAAACUCAAAGGAAUUGACGGGGACCCGCACAAGCGGUGGAUGAUGUGGAUUAAUUCGAUGCAACGCGAAAAACCUUACCUACCCUUGACAUGUCUGGAAUCCUGAAGAGAUUUAGGAGUGCUCGCAAGAGAACCGGAACACAGGUGCUGCAUGGCUGUCGUCAGCUCGUGUCGUGAGAUGUUGGGUUAAGUCCCGCAACGAGCGCAACCCUUGUCAUUAGUUGCUACAUUUAGUUGAGCACUCUAAUGAGACUGCCGGUGACAAACCGGAGGAAGGUGGGGAUGACGUCAAGUCCUCAUGGCCCUUAUGGGUAGGGCUUCACACGUCAUACAAUGGUCGGGACAGAGGGUUGCCAAACCGCAAGGUGGAGCUAAUCUCAUAAACCCGAUCGUAGUCCGGAUUGCAGGCUGCAACUCGCCUGCAUGAAGUCGGAAUCGCUAGUAAUCGCGGAUCAGCAUGUCGCGGUGAAUACGUUCCCGGGUCUUGUACACACCGCCCGUCACACCAUGGGAGUGGGUUUUACCAGAAGUAGUUAGCCUAACCGCAAGGGGGGCGAUUACCACGGUUAGAAUCGUGGGGC
rnacentral:rRNA from 1 species